rfam:Oryza glumipatula chromosome 1, whole genome shotgun sequence.
AAUAAGUGCAGUUUUAGCACUGUCCAUGUCUAACGUUUGACUGCUCGUUUUAUUUAAAAAAGAAAAUAUGAUUAGUAUUUUUAUUAUUAUUACAUAAUAAAACAUUAGUACUUUGUGUGACUAAUUUUUUUAAUUUUUUCAUAAAUUUUUCAAAUAAAACGAACGGUCAAAACGCUAAACACGGAUAUCUAUGGCUGCACUUAUU